rnacentral:rRNA from 1 species
GAUGAACGCUGGCGGCGUGCCUAAUACAUGCAGGUCGAGCGAACGGACGAGAAGCUUGCUUCUCUGAUGUUAGCGGCGGACGGGUGAGUAACACGUGGAUAACCUACCUAUAAGACUGGGAUAACUUCGGGAAACCGGAGCUAAUACCGGAUAAUAUUUUGAACCGCAUGGUUCAAAAGUGAAAGACGGUCUUGCUGUCACUUAUAGAUGGAUCCGCGCUGCAUUAGCUAGUUGGUAAGGUAACGGCUUACCAAGGCAACGAUGCAUAGCCGACCUGAGAGGGUGAUCGGCCACAGUGGAACUGAGAGACGGUCCAGACUCCUACGGGAGGCAGCAGUAGGGAAUCUUGCGCAAUGGGCGAAAGCCUGACGGAGCAACGCCGCGUGAGUGAUGAAGGUCUUCGGAUCGUAAAACUCUGUUAUUAGGGAAGAACAUAUGUGUAAGUAACUGUGCACAUCUUGACGGUACCUAAUCAGAAAGCCACGGCUAACUACGUG